UUCUUCUCGGUUUCGGAUCGGCUUCCCUCUGGUUGCAGGUCCGGUUGAGGAGUGUUCGGUGGCGGUGCUGCGCUGGGUUCUUCAGUCGUGGGGAGAUCGGCGGCGAUGCUGAGGAGAUCGCCUGUCCGUUGCUCCUUUCUCCUUCCCCGAUGGCAGAUCGAGUGGCGAUGUUGUCCGGGUUGCGUGGUGACCGUCGUUGCUGAGGAGACCGAGGAAGAAGAUGCUGCCGAGAGAGAGGCUUCGACGUUGUGGGAGAAGGAAUCUUGGCCGGCGGCUGGAAAAAA
rnacentral:lncRNA from 1 species